rnacentral:tRNA from 1 species
UCCCUGUUGGCUCAAACAGUAAAGAAUCUGCCUGCAAUGCAGGAGACCUGGGUUCGAUCCCCGGGUUGAGAA